UAGGGAAUAUUGGUCAAUGGGCGAGAGCCUGAACCAGCCAUGCCGCGUGCAGGAAGACGGCCUUCUGGGUUGUAAACUGCUUUUAUCAGGGAACAAAUAGUCCAUGCGUGGAAAGUUGCGUGUACCUGAAGAAUAAGCACCGGCUAACUCCGUGCCAGCAGCCGCGGUAAUACGGAGGGUGCAAGCGUUGUCCGGAUUUAUUGGGUUUAAAGGGUGCGUAGGCGGGACAUUAAGUCAGUGGUGAAAUACUUCGGCUCAACCGGAGAGGUGCCAUUGAAACUGGUGUUCUAGAGUACAGACGAGGUAGGCGGAAUUUAUGGUGUAGCGGUGAAAUGCAUAGAUACCAUAAAGAACACCGAUAGCGAAGGCAGCUUACUAGACUGUAACUGACGCUGAGGCACGAAAGCGUGGGUAGCGAACAGGAUUAGAUACCCCCGUAGUCC
rnacentral:rRNA from 1 species